UAGGGAAUCUUCCACAAUGGACGCAAGUCUGAUGGAGCAACGCCGCGUGAGUGAAGAAGGUUUUCGGAUCGUAAAGCUCUGUUGUUGGUGAAGAAGGAUAGAGGUAGUAACUGGCCUUUAUUUGACGGUAAUCAACCAGAAAGUCACGGCUAACUACGUGCCAGCAGCCGCGGUAAUACGUAGGUGGCAAGCGUUGUCCGGAUUUAUUGGGCGUAAAGCGAGCGCAGGCGGAAGAAUAAGUCUGAUGUGAAAGCCCUCGGCUUAAUCGAGGAACUGCAUCGGAAACUGUUUUUCUUGAGUGCAGAAGAGGAGAGUGGAACUCCAUGUGUAGCGGUGGAAUGCGUAGAUAUAUGGAAGAACACCAGUGGCGAAGGCGGCUCUCUGGUCUGCAACUGACGCUGAGGCUCGAAAGCAUGGGUAGCGAACAGGAUUAGAUACCCUGGUAGUCCAUGCCGUAAACGAUGAGUGCUAAGUGUUGGGAGGUUUCCGCCUCUCAGUGCUGCAGCUAACGCAUUAAGCACUCCGCCUGGGGAGUACGACCGCAAGGUUG
rnacentral:rRNA from 1 species